AGAUGUGUGGCUCAGUGGCAGAGCAUCUUGCUUGGCAUGUAGAAUGUCCCAGGUUCAAUCCCUGCCUUAGGCCAUGUUCA